GCUUACGUUGUGUAACGGUAGCACACUCGGCGCGUAUUCGAGAGAUCUAGGUUCGAGUCCGUACGUGGGCA
rnacentral:tRNA from 1 species